CCAUGGCUCAGUGGUAGAGCCUCUGCUUCACAUGCAGAAAGGCCCAGGUUCAAUCCCUGGUUUAAAGA